GGACGAACGCUGGCGGCGUGCUUAAUACAUGCGAACGCACAGGAUGCACGCCUUCUUACUUGGCCGUAUUCUGUGAGUGGCGAACGGGUGAGUAACGCGUAGGUAACCUGCCCCCUUCUGGGGGAUAACCGCAGGAAACGAUAGCUAAUACGGCAUAAGAACUGCCUACUGCAUGGUAGGUGUGGGAAAGGUGCAAAUGCAUUGGUGUCAGGGGGAUGGGCCUGCGUUGUAUUAGCUUGUUGGUGGGGUAACGGCUCACCUAGGCGGUGAUACAUAGCCGGCCUGAGAGGGUGGUCGGUCACACUGGGACUGAGACACGGCCCAGACUCCUACGGGAGGCAGCAGUAGGGAAUCUUCGGCAAUGGGGGCAACCCUGAUCGAGCAACGCCGCGUGAGUGAAGGAGGCUUUCGGAUCGUAAAGCUCUGUUGUUAAGGAAGAAGGCCUGCCAGAAUGGAAAGUUGGUGGUGUGACGGUACUUAGAUAAGAAGGGACGGCUAACUACGU
rnacentral:rRNA from 1 species